GCAUACUUUCCAUAUUGAUACCAAAAGUGUUCCGCCGCUACAAAAAGGUUGAGAACCACUGCCCUAGAGUAUGCUCUGGAAUACGGGAAGAAGAGGAAAAGGGACACUGAGGGAAAAUCUAAGGUAGCCAUCCUCAUCCCUAUGGGAUAUUCCUAUCCCAGAUCUCUGAAACCUGUUAUUGAAUCGUUUCACCGACAGAGUAAAAUAAGUCUAAGCGCCUGGUUAUCACAUCCGUUAGAAAACUCCGACAGAUCCGAAGAACAAACGCAAACUGAGGUGGCCACAACGACGAGCACAUCGACAACAACCCCGACUACACAGAUCCUCUGGCCGACUGAAAACCAAAAUAGAUCCGGUCGCGACCAGGAGACUGAAUUCCCUCCGCUUCGUGGGUCAGGGCGAGGUCGAAUUUCCCGAAGCCAUAGGCCAUAACGGGAAAAGGUUUCUCCUCCCUUCCCAUGGAGUUGGUCUGCACAUAUAUUUUAUAUCAUAUCAUAUAUUUAUUUUUCUAUUAAUUAGUAAUGUAUUAAUAUACUAUUAAAUAUGUAUCUCAUUCCAUAUACAUAUAUUGUAC
rnacentral:lncRNA from 1 species